rnacentral:rRNA from 1 species
AACGAACGCUGGCGGCAUGCCUAACACAUGCAAGUCGAACGAGAUCUUCGGGUCUAGUGGCGCACGGGUGCGUAACGCGUGGGAAUCUGCCCUUUGGUUCGGAAUAACAGUUGGAAACGACUGCUAAUACCGGAUGAUGACGAAAGUCCAAAGAUUUAUCGCCAGAGGAUGAGCCCGCGUAGGAUUAGCUAGUUGGUGUGGUAAAGGCGCACCAAGGCGACGAUCCUUAGCUGGUCUGAGAGGAUGAUCAGCCACACUGGGACUGAGGCACGGCCCAGACUCCUACGGGAGGCAGCAGUGGGGAAUAUUGGACAGUGGGCGAAAGCCUGAUCCAGCAAUGCCGCGUGAGUGAUGAAGGCCUUAGGGUUGUAAAGCUCUUUUACCCGGGAUGAUAAUGACAGUACCGGGAGAAUAAGCUCCGGCUAACUCCGUGCCAGCCGCCGCGGUAA